UCAGCUAUACACAGCCAAUUGUAGACAGAGAAAAUGACUUCCUUAAUUUCUCCUAAACUAUGCAACACAUCUCUUCUUACUUGUAACAAACCCAAAUUUUCUCAACCCCUUCAAAUCAGAGCCCAAAUCCGCAGAGAUCAUGAAGGCAGAUCUAGAAAUAUGGUGGACGCCAAUUUACACCUACUGAAGGUGAGGAUGGAGGAAAUGAGGAACAAGGAGAGGCUAGAGAGAUGCUGCGUAGCUGAACAAGGAUGGAACUAUGCAGCUGUUGAAACCUUCAGAACUAAAAGUGAUAAUAAUAAUAAUGAUAUUAUUCCUCAAGAAUUUGUUGAGCUUUUGGGAGUGGUUGGUGCAACUUUUGGAUUUACAAUUUCUGGUUGCACCUUUUGCAUCUACCUCAUUUCCUUUCUGCUUCAUUUGUACCAGUGACUUCUUCUUGUAGAUUAAACCAUUAAAUAUUUUUUAUUUUUUAAA